rnacentral:rRNA from 1 species
GACGAACGCUGGCGGCGCGCCUAACACAUGCAAGUCGAACGAGCGAGAGAGAGCUUGCUUUCUCGAGCGAGUGGCGAACGGGUGAGUAACGCGUGAGGAACCUGCCUCAAAGAGGGGGACAACAGUUGGAAACGACUGCUAAUACCGCAUAAGCCCACGGCUCGGCAUCGAGCAGGGGGAAAAGGAGCAAUCCGCUUUGAGAUGGCCUCGCGUCCGAUUGGCUAGUUGGUGGGGUAACGGCCCACCAAGGCGACGAUCGGUAGCCGGACUGAGAGGUUGAACGGCCACAUUGGGACUGAGACACGGCCCAGACUCCUACGGGAGGAAGCAGUGGGGAAUAUUGCACAAUGGGGGAAACCCUGAUGCAGCGACGCCGCGUGGAGGAAGAAGGUCUUCGGAUUGUAAACUCCUGUUGUUGGGGAAGAUAAUGACGGUACCCAACAAGGAAGUGACGGCUAACUACGUG